rnacentral:lncRNA from 1 species
AUGCUACUAAAUUAUACAUAUUUUUUAUUUUGUCACAGGGGGCUGUUGUGGGAGAGAUUUGCAGAGGAAGUGAUUUCAAAGUGCCUGCUGAAGGAUGAGUCAAGUGAGGAGGAAAUCAUCAGAACAAUAUGUACAAAGAUGAAGAGACAGCAAGGAAGGUACCACAGCUUUGUUGGGGGUAACAGUGAAGAUGGAAAAUCGUGUCUUUGUAGACCUGACAGACAAGAACCGAUACAGGCAAGGACACAUGAAUUUUGUGUUACAAAAUGA